rnacentral:rRNA from 1 species
UACAGAGGUCCCAAGCGUUGUUCGGAUUCAUUGGGCGUAAAGGGUGCGUAGGCGGCGCGGUAAGUCGGGUGUGAAAUCUCGGAGCUUAACUCCGAAACUGCAUUCGAUACUGCCGUGCUUGAGGACUGGAGAGGAGACUGGAAUUUACGGUGUAGCGGUGAAAUGCGCAGAUAUCAGGAGGAACACCAAUGGCGAAGGCAGCACUCUGGGACGUGACUGACGCUGAGACGCGAAAGCGUGGGGAGCAAACAGG